CAGUAGCCCACGCAAUCGUCCGUCUCCCACACCAAGCAGUCGUCCGUCUCCUCCGUCUCCAACACAAUCCGCCGCCGCUUUCUCCUCCCAUCCCCGUCUCACAUCCCGUCGCUUCCGCCGUCGGCCGAUUGAGUGUUUCCCGAAUUGUUCGUCCGCCGUCCCUCCCCGCACUCAGGCACGCGUACACCCAUCUUCCUCGCUCGCCUGGUUCCGUGGUUCGUGUACGAUUCAGAGCGGAGUAGGGGAUCAAUUGAUGUCAGGUUCGGCUUCCAUCCAAACCGGCCGCCGGCCAGUCCACCGAGGGGAGAGCCCAGAUUGUCCACGCGAAACCCUAGACCCCGCGCGCGUACCAUCUCCGCCGCCUCGCCCAGUUCUUGCUCGCCUCAGCUCGCGGGGAUGGAGCAGGACGCGCCGCCCGUCCCCUCGCACCAGGCCCAGGACGGCGGCGCCGUGGACGGCUGGGCGCGGAAUGACAGCGAGCCCCCUCCCGUACGGCGCUCAGGCGGAGUGCCCCGAGGUCGUAGAUCCUCCUCCUUGCCGGCGCUUCCGCGGCCACGUCUCCACUGCCGCCUCCGCGUGUGCGACCCUCAACGACGACUCAGUGGGGAGGAGCCCUGCGACGACCUCGACGACGCCUGCUCCCCCGACCACAACCGCUGCGUCCAAGAAAGCCACAUGGAUUGGGGAUAUGUACCUCGGUUUGGGUUUAAAGGGGCAAUCUUUGAGCAUUUGUAUAUCAACUAUCGAGGAUCUCAGGUUGACAUGGACCGCACUAUGAUCAAGUGCAUUCUGGUGCUAUGAUGAUUGUGACAGAAGAUGUUAGCUGUAGAAGCAAUCGCUAUGUCUCAGCUCCAAUAUUAAAAAUCAGUGCACCUGAAUUACGACACAAUUUUUGUCAUCUGGAACUGCACUUAUAAGGUGUUUGGUCUGAAAGCUACACUCCUGAAUACAAUGUGAUAUAAAAGGUUCAUGAAAUCAUCAGAAGUUGGAAUUAUACAACCUAGCGGGGGUUGACCAAGCUCUUUAAAAAAUAGUCUUAAGACCAAAGGCAUUACCAAAAGCCGCCAACGGACCGACCACCGCCAUGACCUCAAUUUGCGCAAGGGUUUAUGAACAACACCACAUCAUCUGUGUACAAGGUUUAUGAACAACACCGGAUCAUCACCGCCAUGACCUCCUGCAUCACUGCUCGGCUAGGGCGAGGCUGAAUCCAGUCCUGCUCCUUGUUACAUCAUUUGGCACAGUUGACCCAAUGGUGUGGCAUCUCCUCCAGCGGCGGUGCACCAUCCUCAUCAUCACCACCACCUCCCUACGCCGCAACGGGUAAUCAGCCAGCCGCGGUGGAUAGAACGUGAUUUGAGUCCACGUGUACAAGCACCGGGUAGCAUAGGAGGCACACCUCCCCCUUGCCACCGUCAAGGCCGAAACCUGGCGAGAGGGAGACAUGCAUGAGCGGGUCGGGGCAGAAAGCACAUGGCUUCACUAAGCAUCUUUGUCGGCACCUCGUUGGGGUCGUCCACCCAUGCCCUGAUGACAAAGUACGAGAGGUCGAGCUUGUCGAAGGAUUCGAUGGCCAUAUGGUAGAUUAGGCAUUCGGGCAACAGUUCUUGGGCGGUUUGAGGCGAGAACUCCCACAGGGGAUGCGUUGGAUGGACAGCCUAACGCUGUAGCAGCAUUGAACAGCCUAACUGCAUCCACCCCACGAACCAUGUCGAACCACCGGCAGUGCGUGAAGCUGGCGAAGAAAGAUCCUAGCUUCAUGAGAGAGACCUGAAAGUCGUUUGUUCGAAAGCUCCGGGAAGUCGUCCUUGAUGCCAUCAACAAUUUUUACCAGGAUUAGAGACGACCUCGUACCCGCCACCAUGAGCACCAGCGCCAAAUCCCAUAGGUAAGAACAUAUCCUUGAUGAGGUACCUCGUCUUGCGCGAGCGGGUGUUGCCCCUCCACCGGGUUGUACACGAACCUAGCCGACAUGGAAGGCUCCAGCGACGAAAGGGCGGGUGGCUCCUUGUCGGGAAAGGUGAACCUAGAAUUAGCCGGCGAUUCGGGUGGUCGAGGGGUGGGGGGGGACCAGCUUGGAUUGGACUGAUUAGCGGCAGCGGGGGUGGCAGCUGCACUCACGGCCUUGGCGGUGGUCAAGGCGGGGCUAAGAGUAGUGAUGGACUCAUUAGCGGCGGCCAGGUCAUCAUGGCGGCGCAUGAAGUUCCUUCUGAAGCACAUCCUCUAGCCCAAGUGGUACAUUUGUUCAUUUGUGAUAUGUUCUGUUAGUGUUAUGUUCUCGUUGUCUCUUGCUCUGUUUCUCUUGCCCACAGGUACAUUUGUUCAUUUUCGUAGACCUGCUAUGUUCUAUUGUAAUUCGAGUUCAAAUGUCAAGUUGCGCCGCCACAAAAAAUGCUGCUACUUUAACUUCUGUAAGCGCAGGGAGUAGCGUAGGCGUCCGCUGCAGCUGCUCACAUGGAACGUAUGCCCUGUUGCAGCCUCGCAGAUCAGUUUAAGGUACUGUUAAUGAACCAAAAGUUAAUGUUGUUGGCCUUGCCAAAAUGCCAUGAAGCUUAACAUUCGAUAGUUCCUUCAAAGGGGUCCUUCAGCCUCCAAGGAGAAGGGAAGUGAUGUCUGAUAGGGAAAGAAACUAGGCGAAGCUCUGGAUGCUCGAUCGAGUACGCACCCAAUUAGCACUCUACUUCGUCGGUUGUCCACUGAAAUUUGCUCCAUGACAUCUUGCUUGCCAUGUGGUCACCUUACCUCAAAUUUGCUCCAUGACAUCUUGCUUGCCAUGUGGUCACCUUACCUCAAAUUUGCUCCAUGACAUCUUGCUUUCCAUGUGGUCACCUUACCUCAAAAUUGACAUAUUAUAAUCUAUGAACUACUACAAGUAAACUAUACAACCAAAUGAUUGUUCCAAAAAUUCAAAUUUGCACCAUGCUUUCCACCUGAUCUGCCAGUUUAACUAUCUUAAUUGUACCGCAGACAUUUGAUGUGUGGUAGUACGUGUGUGAUUAUAAUCUCUACAUAGACUUCAUAAUUAUGCCUGACUUUUUCUGAGGAAUUGUUGAAGUAUGCCUUUUAUUUGGGUUGUUUCUGCAUUUGCAGUGUUGGAGGUGUUAGUGCAAGAUUGUAGAGUUGGAAAGUAUAGUAAAACGUCUGUUGGUGCAGGGACUUGGUGAAGCCAUCAGCCUCGACUGUGUCUGCUUCCCCGAUGGUUUUGACUUCUGACUAGUGAUUCUGAUGCAUAUUACUUGAUGAUUCGGUCUUUGUGGCAGCUUUCAGUUUGAACUGGCAUUCAGUGGUUUCAUCCUCUUUGGUGCAGCCUGGAGUUAGUAGUGUGCACAUCUGAAUCUCUUGACUUUUUCCUGAAGCAUAUUACGUGGUUUAUGGUGCCUGCUAACUUGCAUGCGAUUUUUAUGGAAUCUGAUCUCGUUUUUUGCUCCCAGUAUAUACAAAAGGCUAGAAGUAAAUGAUGGAAGAUCCUUUGGUCUCAAACGAGGGUCCUACUUUCAUACCCAAAGUUUGUAUAGUAGAUAAUCAAAUAUUGGCCUUUAGCUUGCAAAUGUAUCACCUUAUAGAAGUAAAGGUUGCAUCUACAUGAGCUCUGAUUAUCUCCAUAUAUACUUGAAUUGCUUUGGGGUCACGCUUGGAUUUGUCAGACUACCAUUCUACAUGCUGUUCUCGAUGAUUACACUUGAUUUGUUAAUUUAUGUACCUUAUGUCAAAAAACAUUAUCCAAAAUUAGUUUUUGGUAUACGCAGACUUUGAAAUUUGUUGAUAGAGAAAGAUCACGCCUAAUUUGCUGGCUCUGUUGACACAGUACUGGCCUCCUGACUUUGUAGUUGGAUAAUGUUGAUGACUCGGUAUGCGGAGAGAGGUUAGGAAUUGUUGCUAUGGACUAAAACAAUGCAGAGUUGAAGGUUCUGAACUGGGAACUUGAACAAACAGUUUGCCUACCUUUCUUGUCGAAUUGAUUUUUUUAGAAGUGAAUGUUCUUCUGGUUGGUGCUUCUUCAGUGGGAUCUGGACCAUGGAAUUUUCAAUUGCAUCUGCUUGGUUCACUGGGAAUUUCCUAGUUUUAAUUUGAUUGACAACUAGCAAAACAGUCCGGCUAAUUUGAUGAUUAAUUCCUACUGAUUGUACAAUUUCAACUCAAGUUCCUGCUGAUUCUACACUUUUCAACCCAAGUUACAUUGUACCAUAUGCCAGUUUGUUUCAUACCUCGUCCAUCCUGGAUUUUUAGACGCAAAGCAUCUGGAUUUUAAAACAAGAAAUAACAUGUCUUUAACAAAAUUAUUCACUCAAAGACCAUGCCCAAGAUUGGAUCUCUCAUCUUUACAGUAAAUUUGGACAGCAGGGAUCUCUCAUCUUUACAGUAAAUUUGGAUAGCAGGGAUGUUCAGUAGAAACGCUAUAAUAGCAUGGAGGCAUUGUUUCUGAACUCGAGCACACAUGUGCUCUUUAUCUGGGCGGUUCGUCAUAGCGUUGGGAUGCGGUGCAUUUACUUUCUGUGUCAGGCUGUUGUUCACUGGAAAAGGGGGAAAUGCAGAAAUACGGCCGACGGGUAUCUUGUAUGGUGGGCCAGGUUUGUGGUGGAGGAGCACCUCCUUUAACGAUUCAAAACAGGGCUGUGGCUCAUGCCGUCAUUCCCGUCCUGAUCCGUGGCUCGUUUAGGGCCUCAGUAGCCGAGUAAAUGGAGGGAUGGGUUGCUGGGCAGAGUUCUCUCCUACCUCCGGCUCCUGGUUUUUCCUAUUAUCGAGUGAGGCUAGAUGGGCGGCGGAGCUUCUAUUCGAAGGAAACAAAGGCUAGCGCAGAAGAUGGAAUUUCUGAUGCAAUCGAUUAAAAGAACCACCGUGCUCGAGGACGUUAACGAUGGCAACGUACUCAUGGAGCCACUACACUGCCAGUGGUCGCAACCGUUGCAGAUCCGCUGCCGCCCAUGGCGGCAGUGAGUGCGGAAGGCCAGAUCUGUGCGGCUGAUGGCGUGGUCGAUACUGAAAUCGAUGGUUUACUGCAAGCAUCCGAGCAGUCGAUUACUCGAUUUGUUAGAUCGACCCAAAAGCCCCAGGAUGGACUCGAAGUGAGGAUCGGUGCUGCCGCACCAGGAAGGUCACCUUGUCCUAAUCGCACUAGUGCACUGGAGAAGGCAAUUCAUGGUUUUGCGGAAAAUCCAGGAGAUGAUGUGAUUGUCCCUGCACUAGGAACAAGCUUUGAUUGUUUGAGUGAAGCCUUCGACUAUUGCCAUUGGACUUUGAUUCUUUUGGGUGAAGCAUACGACUUUUACAAGCUUCGAUUCUUUGACAAAUCUAUAUUUUAGUAAUCCUCCUUGUUUCCUGAAACUGAUGUAUAGUGGUAUGGAAAUGGAUUUCUAAAGUGACAGUAAAUUAGACAACUAUUUUACGAUGUGUAGCCAAAAGCCAAAAGGAUAAUUGCACUAUUAUUAGAACCAAAUAUGAUUUCAGUCUGGAGAAAA